UACAGAGGGUGCGAGCGUUGUCCGGAAUCACUGGGCGUAAAGGGCGCGUAGGUGGCACGACCAGUCCGUGGUGAAAGCUCGACGCUCAACGUCGAGUCGGCCACUGAUACUGUCGAGCUGGAGCACUGUAGAGGCUAAUGGAAUUCCGGGUGUAGCGGUGGAAUGCGUAGAGAUCCGGAAGAACACCGGUGGCGAAGGCGGUUAGCUGGGCAGUUGCUGACACUGAGGCGCGACAGCGUGGGGAGCAAACAGG
rnacentral:rRNA from 1 species